rnacentral:rRNA from 1 species
UACGUAGGGUGCGAGCGUUAAUCGGAAUUACUGGGCGUAAAGCGUGCGCAGGCGGUUUUGCAAGUCAGAUGUGAAAUCCCCGGGCUUAACCUGGGAACUGCGUUUGAAACUACAAGGCUAGAGUGUGGCAGAGGGGGGUGGAAUUCCACGUGUAGCAGUGAAAUGCGUAGAGAUGUGGAGGAACACCGAUGGCGAAGGCAGCCCCCUGGGUUAACACUGACGCUCAGGCACGAAAGCGUGGGGAGCAAACAGG